GCCACGCGCAGAGACCCGUGGGCGCGCAGCAGCAGAGCACGAGCAGCGCGAUCACUCAGCAGCAGGAUUAUCAGGAAUCAUGAGCGUGGGAAAACUGGCGGUGUGUGUUGUGUUAGCGCUGGCCGUGUGUGAGGCGUAUGUGUUUCAGGCCGGUCAGUCAUCAGGUGAGGUGGACGACACUCCUCCACAGAUCAGAGAUUUCUCUGGCUCCUGUAAGGGCCGUUGUUUCGAGCUGAAGGAGGCGGAGCCACCCAGCUGCAGGUGUGAUAAUCUGUGUAAGACGUACCUGAGCUGCUGCUCUGACUUCGACGAGCAGUGCCUCAAGACAGCGGGAGGGUUCGAGUGUUCGCGGGAGCGCUGUGGUGAGAUCAGGAAUGAGGAUUACGCCUGUCAACUGUUCAGACGACUGACUGUCUGCUGAGAG